UACGGAGGAUCCAAGCGUUAUCCGGAUUUAUUGGGUUUAAAGGGUGCGUAGGCGGCUUUUUAAGUCAGGGGUGAAAGACGGUAGCUCAACUAUCGCAGUGCCCUUGAUACUGAUGGGCUUGAAUGAACUAGAGGUAGGCGGAAUGUGACAAGUAGCGGUGAAAUGCAUAGAUAUGUCACAGAACACCAAUUGCGAAGGCAGCUUACUAUGGUUUUAUUGACACUGAGGCACGAAAGCGUGGGGAUCAAACAGG
rnacentral:rRNA from 1 species